rfam:Populus trichocarpa scaffold_14_contig_111, whole genome shotgun sequence.
UAAUCUGUUUGGAAUAAAUCUUUAUUUAGUUAUAGUAAAUUCAUAACUAACUGUUUAGAAUCACUUGUUGAAAGAAGCAUGAUUACAUCAAUGCUUUGUAAUUGUAACUAGUGCAAGUUAUGUUUUUUCCCUUCUGUCA